rnacentral:rRNA from 1 species
GAUGAACGCUGGCGGCGUGCCUAAUACAUGCAAGUCGAGCGAACGGACGAGAAGCUUGCUUCUCUGAUGUUAGCGGCGGACGGGUGAGUAACACGUGGAUAACCUACCUAUAAGACUGGGAUAACUUCGGGAAACCGUAGCUAAUACCGGAUAAUAUUUUGAACCGCAUGGUUCAAAAGUGAAAGACGGUCUUGCUGUCACUUAUAGAUGGAUCCGCGCUGCAUUAGCUAGUUGGUAAGGUAACGGCUUACCAAGGCAACGAUGCAUAGCCAACCUGAGAGGGUGAUCAGCCACACUGGAACUGAGACACGGUCCAGACUCCUACGGGAGGCAGCAGUAGGGAAUCUUCCGCAAUGGGCGAAAGCCUGACGGAGCAACGCCGCGUGAGUGAUGAAGGUCUUCGGAUCGUAAAACUCUGUUAUUAGGGAAGAACAUAUGUGUAAGUAACUGUGCACAUCUUGACGGUACCUAAUCAGAAAGCCACGGCUAACUACGUG